rnacentral:rRNA from 1 species
GACCCUUUUAUCCUGGCUCAGGACGAACGCUGGCGGCGUGCUUAACACAUGCAAGUCGAGCGAUGAAAUCCCUUCGGGGAUGGAUUAGCGGCGGACGGGUGAGUAACACGUGGGCAACCUGCCUCAAAGUGGGGGAUAGCCUUCCGAAAGGAAGAUUAAUACCGCAUAACAUUAGUUUUUUACAUGAAUUACUAAUUAAAGGAGUAAUCCGCUUUGAGAUGGGCCCGCGGCGCAUUAGCUAGUUGGUGAGGUAACGGCUCACCAAGGCCACGAUGCGUAGCCGACCUGAGAGGGUAAUCGGCCACAUUGGAACUGAGACACGGUCCAGACUCCUACGGGAGGCAGCAGUGGGGAAUAUUGCACAAUGGGCGAAAGCCUGAUGCAGCAACGCCGCGUGAGUGAUGAAGGCCUUCGGGUUGUAAAGCUCUGUCUUUGGGGACGAUAAUGACGGUACCCAAGGAGGAAGCCACGGCUAACUACGUGCCAGCAGCCGCGGUAAUACGUAGGUGGCGAGCGUUGUCCGGAUUUACUGGGCGUAAAGGAUGCGUAGGCGGAUGUUUAAGUCAGAUGUGAAAAUCCCGAGCUUAACUUGGGAACUGCAUUUGAAACUGGAUAUCUAGAGUGCGGGAGAGGAGAAUGGAAUUCCUAGUGUAGCGGUGAAAUGCGUAGAGAUUAGGAAGAACACCAGUGGCGAAGGCGAUUCUCUGGACCGUAACUUGACGCUUGAGGCAUGAAAGCGUGGGGUAGCAAACAGGAUUAAAUACCCUGGUAGUCCACCCCGUAAACGAAGAAUACUAAGGUGUAGGAGGUAUCCACCUCCUUCUGGUGCCCCCACCUAACGCCAAAAAAGUAUUCCCCCCUGGGGAAAUACC